UCCAGGGUAGAAUGCUUGCCUUGCAUGCAUGAGGUUCUGGGUUCAAUUCCCAGCACUGGAU
rnacentral:tRNA from 1 species